GUGUAUGUGUUGUUGUAUUGGUGUUUGACUUGAUUGGACUUGGUUUUACUAGACUUGACUUUGUUUAGCUUGAUUGUUAAUUAUUGUUUGUUACUUGACUUGUUAUAUAAUCUCUAGUAGAGAAAUUAUAAUCAUGUUUAAGUCUGAGUAUGGAUUUCUGUAUACGUAGGAUAAAGUGAAUGAUCACUGUAAGUUAUGGGUGAAGUUUGACAUUAUGUCUGGG
rnacentral:lncRNA from 1 species